AUGAGUUGGAGCAGAGAAAGGGAGGAAGGAAGCAUCGGAGAAAGGGCUCGCCGGAAGGCAGCGGGAUCACCGGGCGGGAACAGGAUUGACUUCAGGCGGCGGCUAUUUGCAUGGAUGCAGGCAUGCAGCCACCGCUUGGUGCAGCGCCUCAUCGACCGCGGCGGGAACAGGAUUGACUUCAGGCGGCGGCUCCUGUCCAGGCUCAUGCAGCACCUCGUUAGACUGUCCAACAACUGGUUCGGGAGGUUCGUCCUGCAGCGCUGCUUCCAGAACGCGGUGGUCGCGCUGCAGCCCAUCGUGCUCACGGCUUGUGCUGACCUGCCCCAAGGAGACAUCCAAGCGCUGGUGAUGCACGAGGAGCUCCAGCCCCUCCACAGGGUGCUCCAGGGAGGCAACACUAACUACCCGGCAGAGGCGAGGAGGUUGUCGCUCAAGAUUCAAGCACUGCCUCUACAUAUCCGGGAACAAGAAGAGUUGCAGCCGUUGAUGAGGGCCGUCACGAGGGUCCUCGCCGAUAACCUGGCCAACUUGGGCGACUAG
rnacentral:rRNA from 1 species